UAUUUUGUUAUUAGUUGAUGUUUGUUUAUUUUAUAUCUGCUUUUUUCCAGGAAAGAGUGAAGGCAGCAUAAUGUAUGAAUUUCUGAUCUGCCUGCAGGAGCAGUUCCACUGGAUUUCUUCUUCACCAAAUCCACUUGUUAAUGAUUGAUAUGUUAAUGAUUUGAUUAAUCCAUGGGGUUUGAUUCAUUUCCAUCAUCAUUUACAUUUCGUCAAGACAUGUUUUCAAGGAGAUACUUGAUGUCCUCCAAAUGCUCCGUUUCUCAGCGUGGGAAACUUUUAUUUUCCUUAAGUAAAGGAAAUCUGCACCUUGGAAGUCUGACUGACUGAUGGGAAGCUGAAAUCUAAGUGUGGAGAGGUUAAGUAAUCUCACUAGCCUUUUGCAAACUCUGGAGGAGCCCACUUCUUAGAUCUGUAACUUUUCCGUUAGGUACAUUUCCAUAAGAUACAUAAGUCUAUGUCAUUUCUAAAUAUAUAUGUAUACAUAUAUAUAUACACACACACAUAUUACUGAAUAUAAAUAUAUUUGCUAUAUACACUAAUACAUAUAUAUUACAUAUAUAUAUGCACAUAUGUAUAUAUUAGUGAACAGUAGCCACCUACCCCUAGCACACUAAGAAAAUGCUUCAAAGCUUCAAGCCCAAGGCACAGGGCCUGCUUGGCACCCACUGAAGAAGCUGAACCCAUGAGUGACCUUCUGAACCUCACAGUCAGGAUGUGACCUUCUGGGCAUUCUUUGUAGGGACAAGUUGAGUUGAGUUCAUGUACAGCAGAGUGGUUAGGCCAGAGCAGUUUUUUUGAGAUUAUUUGACACAGAACAUCAAAAAUUGGGAAUGCAUGGUGUUGACACAUGCACAACCUGAAAGUUGAUAGUGAAGUUUUAUUGGGGGCAAAAUUAAGACUUAAGCCCAGGAGAGAGCAUCUCAUGUAGCCCUGAGAAACUGAUCUAAGAGGAGGUGAAGGGGGAAGCUAGGAUACAAAGGAGUUUUUGCAACAAAGGGCAGGGAGCAGGAACAAAAGAAGCCUGGGCUCACUCAAAUCAUUCCUUUGAUAUGCAUCUCCUCCUCUGCUCUGGGGCUAGUAUCCUGAGUUUUCACAGCCCUUGGGGUUCACUGGCACUCACCCUUGAAAGUGACUGCAUUUGCAGAUGACCUUGACAUUCUUUGUUUUGUCCACUUAACUACAGCCUGGGCAGUGGUAUUUAAGACAACUCUGAAAUACCGCCCCAGAGAGGAAAGGGGGAAUGUCAGGAUAGCUGGGAUAAAGGUGAAGGGGGAGGGGCAUGCAGCCAUGCACCCAUUUCGCAGAAGUUUGCUGCUGGUCUCCUGAAGGUUAUUACCAGUCACAGACAUCAGUCCUCAUGAAGGACUUCAGAUAUGAGACCCAGAAUUGUGCUCAUAAAAAUCUUCUCCUAAAAAUAUCUAACUAUCUGAAGACCUGUUCUUCCAGUUUUCCCAGAGCAGAGUGUCUCAGUCCUGGUCUCCACCCUGAGCUCUGCUCAGAGGGUGCUGCGGGCAGGCAGCUGUAGUAGCUCACGAUUUAAUCCAUGUAGAGGCAGCGGAUGGCAAGUGGUGGCAAGUGCCAAACUCCAGUUCACACCGGUAAGAAAAUUGUUCUCUGCUUUCAUUUUCAUUUUCGAUUCUCUUUCAUUGCUUCCAGUUACACUGAGGGGAAAGUUUCCGCUUGGUGUGAGUAGGCAUUUAACACCCUUCUCAGCUCCUGCUAAGUUUCAUUGUCCUCCAAGAGUCAGCUUCAGGAUAAGAACCUCAGACAAGCAAGAGCUGCCAGCUCCAAUCUAAACAAGAUGUUCUGCUGCUGCUGUAUUUGGUUCUGCCUUUAACUUCUCUUUCUAUUAGGUGAUGCUAGUUGUCCAUUCGAAGUAGUGAUAUAAAGUUAUCUUGAAAAAGAAACGUUUUCAAGGGAGUUCCCAUUGUGGCUCAACGAGUUAAGAACCUGACAUAGUGUCCAUGGCACGCGGGUUCAAUUCCUGGCCUCACUCAAUGGGUUAAGGAUUCAGCAUUGCCACAAGGUAUGGUGUAGGGCUCGGAUACAGCUCAGAUCCAGUGUUGCUGUGGCUGUGGUGUAGGCCUGCAACUGCAGCUCUGAUUCAACCCUAGCCUGGGAACGUCCAUAUGCCUCAGGGGCACCCCUAAAAAAAAAAAUGCGUUCAAGUAUUUUUAAUUGAUUUAAAAAAAUAAACGUGUAGCUGAUAUAUUAAUGAUGACAUUUGGGGUAACAGGAGGAAAAAGGUAUAGGACCUUCAGUGAACGACAAGCAGCUAUUGUCCACAGGAAAAAAGCUGGUAUUAACCCCUGAAGAAAUGAGUCUAAGACUAAUACUUUUUUUAAAUUUUAAUAAAAUAUUAUAUUUAGACCAAUAUACCUAAAAUAUUAUCAGUAUUUUAAAUAUUUUACACUUAUAGGACACUGCAGUUCAGACUAAGCAUAUUUCAAGCGCUCAAGAGCCAUAUGUGGUAAGCAGCUACAUAUAGGACAGUGAGCAACAUGUCCAUAUCUAGUAAAAUCCAUGCUGUAUCUAAGAAAACCACUGCAAAUUUCUAGCUGGAGUUUGAACAAUAUUCAUUGCAACUUUGUUAUAGAAAUUUUAAAAAUGGAACAAUGCAAAUGUCCGCCAACCAGAGAAUGGGGAGACUAACACUUUUUUUUUUUUUUUUUGGCCAAGCCCACAGCACGUGGAAGUUCCCUGGCUCAGGGAUCAAACCUGUGCCAUAGCAGUGACCCCAGCCACAGCAGUGACAAAGCCAGAUCCUUAAUCUGCUGAACCACCAGGGAAUUCCAUGAGACUGAUUUUCUUUCUUUCUUUCUUUCUUUUUUUUUUCUUUUUAGGGCCAUACUUGUGGCAGGCAUAUGGAGGAUCCCAGGCUAGAGGUCGAAUGGGAUCUACAGCUGCCCUGCCUACACCACAGUCACAGCAACACAGGAUUUGAGCCAUGUCUGCAACCUACACCACAGUUCACAGCAAUGCCAGAUCCCCUACACACUGAGCAAGACCAGGGAUUGAACCCGCGUUCUCAUGGAUACUAGUUGGAUUCCUUUCCACUGCGCUAUGAUGGGCACUCUCGAGACUAAUAUUCUUAAUGGAAGACCAGAGGAGGUGAGGAAUGGCCGAUGACUGGUUUCCCACUGCUAAGCUGGAUAUGAUAAAAAACAUUAACUCGAUUAAUUCACAGAUUUUGAUUAAGAAGCAAAUGAGAAAUUGCAAGGGAAAGCCUGUUACAAACUAUAGAGUAUUAUACCCCUGUUAAGGGAUUAUCAUAAUAAAUGAGUGAUGACAGAGGGAUAAGAGAGGAUAAAAGGAAGUUACGUUAAAGGAAACUGGUUAAUUAGCAAGAACGAAAAUUCUGCCGUCACUAGAGCUGCAUGGGCCUGGGUCUUAGAAAGGCAGGAAGCAGCCCCGGUUGUGAUUUGUUCUCUAUGAAGGUAGGGUCAGAGGAAUAAACAAGUCAAAAUCAAACAAACAAAAGUGGUUUCUGUAGAAAGAUCCCAAACUACUUCAAUGAGAAGACCCACCAGGAGAGAAGAGAAGGCUGGUUAGACCCCCAGUCUGGGUGCAACUAUCCUAAAAGGGUAAAUACACCGCCACAAAUUGGGCUCUGUGCCCCCACUGCACACACACAUGCACUGUUGUCCAUCCACACGUGGUUGCAUCCUGCUAAGGCCUGGCACCAGCAGCAAGGCAGUGUGAGUCCAAUACACAGUCAGCCACUGAGUGGGCAGCUCCAGCUGUCCUGGAUGGAAGGGAAGAGAAGAGCUGAGUAAACCCCAGGAGGCAAUGAUGCCAUUGGCUCCCUUGGUGCUCAGCACACAGAGCCCAGAACAGUGCCCAACAGAGUGGGUGCCAGGAAGCAUGUGUUAAGCGAGUGAAAUGAAGAGGAAAAUAAGGGGAAGGGCAAGAGAGGAAGGGAGAGAAGAUCCAGGACCCAAAGAGCUCAGGUGGCAGAGGCUGGGGUGGCAUUUCAUAGCAGGCCUCCUGCUCCUCUGCCCAGAAGUGACAGGGAGGAGGCAGCACAGUGUUGCCAAGCUCAGGCCUUCAAGUCCAUGAGAAAUGACCAUUUCACUUUGACCACCUAUGAACACUAACUUCUCCAACCAUCGGUUUCAUGGGCACCGCAGGAAGGACCACACACCAACCUCACGGUUAUCUCUAGUAUUAAAUGAGAUAAAAUAUGUGCACAUGGUAGAUGAGGCAGCAGUGCAACUUCAAUUGUUACUGUUGUUGUUGUCAGUACGUAUCCUCUAGCAAAAUGCAGAAAUUAUUUUGAUUCUGUGAAAAGUGUGACAUGAUAUGGAUUUUCAUUCCAUAAACAGAGUCGUAUACUUUGCUUCCUAAUUAGACUGUAUCUGUCAUGUCUGUAAUUUCUGUGUAAUUAAAUUGAAAUUAAAUGUCAAUUUACUUUGAAUUACAGAGUAAUUCUAUGUAUACAUGCCACGCAAUCUGCAUUUUGUUAGGAGAUGACAACCAAAAAUAUCCUGACAGUCCCUCUGUAAUUACACAGUGAUCUGAUUAAGAUCAGCGUGACAAAAUACCUGCCAAGACCAGAAGGAGAGCAACCAUGAGCGGUGGAGGGGUCGGUAGAGGUUAGGUGCAGGAGAGGCAGGGAGAGCGUGAUCUCACCCAUGACCUUGCUGCUCCCCAGGGGCCCACGCAAGCCCGAUUCAAUGGCAAUCACUUUCGUAGGCAGUGGAA
rnacentral:lncRNA from 1 species